rnacentral:rRNA from 1 species
GUGCCUAACACAUGCAAGUCGAGCGAGGAGAUUCCUUCGGGAUGAUCCUAGCGGCGGACGGGUGAGUAACACGGUGGGCAACCUGCCUCAUAGAGAGGAAUAGCCUUCCGAAAGGGAGAUUAAUACCUCAUAACAUUGCAGUUUCGCAUGGAACAGCAAAUUAAAGGAGCAAUCCGCUAUGAGAUGGGCCCGCGGCGCAUUAGCUAGUUGGUGAGGUAACGGCUCACCAAGGCGACGAUGCGUAGCCGACCUGAGGAGGGUGAUCGGCCACAUUGGGACUGAGACACGGCCCAGACUCCGUACGGGAGGCAGCAGGUGGGAAUAUUGCACAAUGGGGAAACCCUGAUGCAGCCAACGCCGCGUGAGUGAUGACGGCCUUCGGGUUGUAAAGCUCUGUCUUCAGGGACGAUAAUGACGGUACCUGAGGAGGAAGCCACGGCUAACUACGUGCCAGCAGCAGC